CGUAAGCGACCUACCUCGAUGUGGGGCAUAGCCGGCCUAACGGCCGGGUAAUUCCGCAUACGCUCUUGGAGGGGCAUAUCUCCGAGAUGAAACCAGCAAUGGGCAUUGAGAGGGGCUUGCGGCCUAUCAGCUAGUUGGUGAGGUAACGGCUCACCAAGGCUACGACGGGUAGCUGGUCUGAGAGGAUGGCCAGCCACAUUGGGACUGAGAAACGGCCCAG
rnacentral:rRNA from 1 species